UGUGUCAGCAGCCGCGGUAAAACCAGCUCCUCGAGGGGUCCCCACGCAUACUGGGCCUAAAGCGUCCGUAGCCGGCCCCGUAAGUCCCCGGUUAAAUCCGCCGGAAGACCGGUGGGCCGCCGGGGAUACUGCGGGGCUAGGGAGCGGGAGGGGCCGAGGGUAUUCCGGGGGAUAGCGGUAAAAUGCGUAGAUCCCCGGAGGACCACCAGUGGCGAAGGCGCUCGGCUGGAACGCGUCCGACGGUGAGGGACGAAAGCUGGGGGAGCAAACCGGAUUAGAUACCCGGGUAGUCCCAGCCGUAAACGAUGCCGGCUAGGUGCCGGCCGAGGUUUCGGCCUCGGCCGGUGUCGAAGCGAAGGCGUUAAGCCGGCCGCCUGAGGAGUACGGCCGCAAGGCUGAAACUUGAAGGAAUUGGCGGGGGAGCACAA
rnacentral:rRNA from 1 species